GAUGAAGAACGUAGCGAAAUGCGAUAAGUAAUGUGAAUUGCAGAAUUCAGUGAAUCAUCGAAUCUUUGAACGCACAUUGCGCCCGCUGGUAUUCCGGCGGGCAUGCCUGUUCGAGCGUCAUUAUCACCCCUCAAGCCCUCGGCUUGGUGUUGGACGGUUUGGUGGAGGCCCCCUCGGGGGCUCCUGCCCCUCCCAAAGACAAUGACGGCGGCCUCGUUGGACCCCCGGUACACUGAGUUCUUCACGGGACACGUAUCGGACACAUGGGUUUACGGGACACGGUCUGCCUCCCCUCAGGGAGAAUCUUUCUAAGGUUGACCUCGGAUCAGGUAGGGAUACCCGCUGAACUUAAGCAUAUCAAUAAGCGGAGGA
rnacentral:misc_RNA from 1 species